UAUAGAGUAGAGGACUGACUGUCUGUUAUCCUUCUCCAGUAGUACUAACUAGGGGGGGGAAAAGCAUGGUGAAUUCGAAGUAGAGGACUGUCUGUAACCCUCCUCAGGAGCUUAGAUAGAGACUGGUGCAAUAUGAGUAGACUACUGGUAGGAGGGGUAACAGACAGU
rnacentral:lncRNA from 1 species